UUAAGUGACUAAAGUAGAAUGGAAAAUUUAGUCGCUUACAAAGUAUAGUAGGGAUAUUUGGGGUUAAGCGUCCUUGGGUUUGAAUAGUACUAGGCUGGGUGACCUCCCGGGAAGUCCAAAUUUAGAAGCUUACA
rnacentral:rRNA from 1 species